rnacentral:tRNA from 1 species
GCCCUUUUAGCUCAGUGGUAGAGCGCGCCACUCGUAAUGGUGAGGUCAGUCGUUCAAAUCGGCUAUGGGGCU